rnacentral:rRNA from 1 species
UGGCGGCGUGGAUAAGACAUGCAAGUCGAACGCAAUAUGCUCUGUAGCAAUACAGAGUAUGUUGAGUGGCGCAAGGGUGCGUAACACGUGGGCAAUUUGCCGUGAAGUUGGGAAUAACUUGCUGAAAGGCGAGCUAAUACCGAAUGUGGUUUGCUGGAGGCAUCUCUAGUCAACUAAAGUUGGGGACCGUAAGGCCUGACGCUUCACGAUAAGCCCGCGGCCUAUCAGCUAGUUGGUGAGGUAACGGCUCACCAAGGCUAAGACGGGUAGCUGGUCUGAGAGGACGACCAGCCACACUGGAACUGAGACACGGUCCAGACACCUACGGGUGGCAGCAGUCGAGAAUUUUUCUCAAUGGGCGAAAGCCUGAAGGAGCGACGCCGCGUGGGGGAUGAAUGGCUUCGGCCCGUAAACCCCUGUCAUUUGCGAACAAACCUUACCAUUUAAAAGAUGAUAAGCUGAUUGUAGCGAAAGAGGAAGGGACGGCUAACUCUGUGCCAGCAGCCGCGGUAAUACAGAGGUCCCAAGCGUUGUUCGGAUUCACUGGGCGUAAAGGGUGCGUAGGUGGUCGGGUAAGUUUGAUGUGAAAGCUCCGAGCUUAACUCGGAAAUUGCAUUGAAUACUAUUCGGCUAGAGGGUUGGAGGGGGGACUGGAAUUCUCGGUGUAGCAGUGAAAUGCGUAGAUAUCGAGAGGAACACCAGUGGCGAAGGCGAGUCCCUGGACAACUCCUGACACUGAGGCACGAAAGCUAGGGGAGCAAACAGGAUUAGAUACCCUGGUAGUCCUAGCCGUAAACGGUGCACAUUUGCUGUAAAAGGAAUCGACCCCUUUUGUGGCGAAGCAAACGCGAUAAAUGUGCCGCCUGGGAAGUACGGUCGCAAGAUUA